rnacentral:rRNA from 1 species
AACGAACGCUGGCGGCAUGCCUAACACAUGCAAGUCGAACGAGACCUUCGGGUCUAGUGGCGCACGGGUACGUAACGCGUGGGAACCUGCCCUUAGGUUCGGAAUAACUCCCCGAAAGGGGUGCUAAUACCGGAUAAUGUCUUCGGACCAAAGAUUUAUCGCCUUUGGAUGGGCCCGCGUUGGAUUAGCUAGUUGGUAGGGUAAAAGCCUACCAAGGCGACGAUCCAUAGCUGGUCUGAGAGGAUGAUCAGCCACACUGGGACUGAGACACGGCCCAGACUCCUACGGGAGGCAGCAGUGGGGAAUAUUGGACAAUGGGCGAAAGCCUGAUUCAGCAAUGCCGCGUGAGUGAUGAAGGCCUUAGGGUUGUAAAGCUCUUUUACCCGGGAUGAUAAUGACAGUACCGGGAGAAUAAGCUCCGGCUAACUCCGUG